rnacentral:lncRNA from 1 species
UUUAUGAGAAAUAAUAUCAUUAAUCAAAUUCCAAUAUGAGAACGCCGCAAUCGGGACCUUCCCGGGUCCGCAAGUGGCAUAAUAAUCCUGGAGAGCUUCCCCCACCUUUUUCCAUCUCUGUUCGUCAAUGGUUCCCUCAGCAGGGAACCCACGUUGGGCGCCACUUGUCCCGGCCCGCGGGCCUCCUCAGGAAUGGCCAGCGGUUGGAUGAAGGAGUGAUCUCUUACAUCUUGUAUGGAGCCCUCUUGGUAAGAAUGUCAAUCGUCCAAGGAGCUCUCAUCUCUGUUAAAUAUGUUUGGUCUCUUUGGGAUAUUCUGCC